GACGAACGCUGGCGGCGUGCCUAAUACAUGCAAGUCGAACGCAUUUUCUUUCACCGUAGCUUGCUACACCGAAAGAAAAUGAGUGGCGAACGGGUGAGUAACACGUGGGUAACCUGCCCAUCAGCGGGGGAUAACACUUGGAAACAGGUGCUAAUACCGCAUAAUUCCAUUUACUGCAUGGUAGAUGGAUGAAAGGCGCUUUUGCGUCACUGAUGGAUGGACCCGCGGUGCAUUAGCUAGUUGGUGGGGUAACGGCCUACCAAGGCUGCGAUGCAUAGCCGACCUGAGAGGGUGAUCGGCCACACUGGGACUGAGACACGGCCCAGACUCCUACGGGAGGCAGCAGUAGGGAAUCUUCGGCAAUAGACGCAAGUCUGACCGAGCAACGCCGCGUGAGUGAAGAAGGUUUUCGGAUCGUAAAACUCUGUUGUUAGAAAAGAACAAGGAUAAGAGUGGAAAGUUCAUCCCUUGACGGUAUCUAACCAGAAAGCCACGGCUAACUACGUG
rnacentral:rRNA from 1 species